GCUAGUAAUGGCAGGUCAGCAUACUGCCGUGAAUACGUUCCCGGGCCCUUGUACACACCGCCCGUCACACCAUGAGAGUUGGGGAUACCCGAAGCCUGUGAGCCAACUUUUUAAGUAGGCAGCAGUCGAAGGUAGAAUCAAUGAUUGGGGUGAAGUCGUAACAAGGUAAC
rnacentral:rRNA from 1 species